AACGAACGCUGGCGGCAGGCCUAACACAUGCAAGUCGAGCGAGGACUUCGGUUCUAGCGGCGGACGGGUGAGUAACGCGUGGGAAUGUGCCCUUCUCUACGGAAUAGCCCUGGGAAACUGGGAGUAAUACCGUAUACGCCCUUUUGGGGAAAGAUUUAUCGGAGAAGGAUCAGCCCGCGUUGGAUUAGGUAGUUGGUGGGGUAAUGGCCUACCAAGCCGACGAUCCAUAGCUGGUUUGAGAGGAUGAUCAGCCACACUGGGACUGAGACACGGCCCAGACUCCUACGGGAGGCAGCAGUGGGGAAUCUUAGACAAUGGGGGCAACCCUGAUCUAGCCAUGCCGCGUGAGUGAUGAAGGCCUUAGGGUUGUAAAGCUCUUUCUGCUGGGAAGAUAAUGACGGUACCAGCAGAAGAAGCCCCGGCUAACUCCGUG
rnacentral:rRNA from 1 species